rnacentral:rRNA from 1 species
UACGUAGGUGACAAGCGUUGUCCGGAUUUACUGGGCGUAAAGGGCGUGCAGGCGGUUUGUUAAGUGCAGGGUGAAAGCUCCCGGCUCAACUGGGAGAGGUCCUUGCAUACUGGCAAACUCGAGGGAGGCAGAGGAAAGUGGAAUUCCCGGUGUAGUGGUGAUAUGCGUAGAUAUCGGGAGGAACACCUGUGGCGAAGGCGGCUUUCUGGGCCUUACCUGACGCUGAGACGCGAAAGCGUGGGGAGCGAACCGG